UUUUUCAACCUUCAUCACCAAGCUCAGUUUCAACCUGGCCUUUAUAAGUCCAGUUUCCACACUAGCCCCUAUAAGCCUAGCUCGCCUGGCCCACAAAGCCCAGUUUCUGCACUGGCCCAUCAAGCCCAACUCGUUUGGCCCUCUUAACCUCAAGUUUCUCUUUUUAUAUCGGCCCUCUGCCUGGCAAUGAUCGAAUUUUGGUUUUUAUUCUAUGAGUUUGGCCCUUUGCUUGGCAAUGGUCAAAUCUAGGUUUUAGUUUUGCUAUCGGCCCUCUGCUUGGCAAUGGUCGAAUUUGAGUUUUUCUUCUGGCC
rnacentral:lncRNA from 1 species